rnacentral:rRNA from 1 species
UACGGGGGGGGCAAGCGUUGUUCGGAAUUACUGGGCGUAAAGGGCUCGUAGGCGGCCAACUAAGUCAUACGUGAAAUCCCUCGGCUUAACCGGGGAACUGCGUCUGAUACUGGAUGGCUUGAGAUUGGGAGAGGGAUGCGGAAUUCCAGGUGUAGCGGUGAAAUGCGUAGAUAUCUGGAGGAACACCGGUGGCGAAGGCGGUUCUCUGGGCAUUACCUGACGCUGAGGAGCGAAAGUGUGGGGAGCGAACAGG